GCCGGUGCGAAACCGGCGCUGUCCCGCAACUGUGAUGCCCGCGACGAGCCGGGCUAGCCAGG
rnacentral:ncRNA from 18 species